rnacentral:rRNA from 1 species
CGAACGGAAAGGCCCUGCUUGCAGGGUACUCGAGUGGCGAACGGGUGAGUAACACGUGGGUGAUCUGCCCUGCACUUCGGGAUAAGCUUGGGAAACUGGGUCUAAUACCGGAUAGGAACCAUCUUUAGUGUGGUGGUUGGAAAGUUUUUUCGGUGUAGGACGAGCUCGCGGCCUAUCAGCUUGUUGGUGGGGUAAUGGCCUACCAAGGCGGCGACGGGUAGCCGGCCUGAGAGGGUGUACGGCCACAUUGGGACUGAGAUACGGCCCAGACUCCUACGGGAGGCAGCAGUGGGGAAUAUUGCACAAUGGGCGCAAGCCUGAUGCAGCGACGCCGCGUGGGGGAUGAAGGCCUUCGGGUUGUAAACUCCUUUCGCUAGGGACGAAGCUUUUUGGUGACGGUACCUAGAUAAGAAGCACCGGCUAACUACGUGCCAGCAGCCGCGGUAAUACGUAGGGUGCGAGCGUUGUCCGGAAUUACUGGGCGUAAAGGGCUCGUAGGUGGUUUGUCGCGUCGUCUGUGAAAUUCUGGGGCUUAACUCCGGGCGUGCAGGCGAUACGGGCAUAACUUGAGUGCUGUAGGGGUAACUGGAAUUCCUGGUGUAGCGGUGAAAUGCGCAGAUAUCAGGAGGAACACCGAUGGCGAAGGCAGGUUACUGGGCAGUU